AUUCUGUAGUGCUGCAGGUUUAACACCACAUGGAAGCUUCCAAGGCUUAUCAUGUCUUUUGCUGCCUCAGGACCUGUAAUGUGAGAGGCUGCCUCAGAGAUAUCUGAAAUGCCUUUGAGGUCUUUUUCCCAUUGUCUUGGCAUCAACACUUGGCUCCUCUUUAGUUACGCAAAUAUCUCUAGCAAGUGAUUGUUUCGCAGCCCACUUGGAUUCUUUUCAGGAAGAGCGGAUGUUAUUUUCUACCAUAUAGUCAAGCUGAAAAUUUUUCAAUCUUCUAUGCUCUGCUUUCCUUUUAAAUAUAAAUUCCAAAUUAAAGUCAUUUCUUUGAUCUCACAUCUGAGU
rnacentral:lncRNA from 1 species